GAUGAACGCUGGCGGCGUGCCUAAUACAUGCAAGUCGAGCGAAUGGAUUAAGAGCUUGCUCUUAUGAAGUUAGCGGCGGACGGGUGAGUAACACGUGGGUAACCUGCCCAUAAGACUGGGAUAACUUCGGGAAACCGGGGCUAAUACCGGAUAAUAUUUUGAACUGCAUGGUUCAAAAUUGAAAGGCGGCUUCGGCUGUCACUGAUGGAUGGACCCGCGUCGCAUUAGCUAGUUGGUGAGGUAACGGCUGACCAAGGCAACGAUGCGUAGCCGACCUGAGAGGGUGGUCGGCCACACUGGGACUGAGACACGGCCCAGACUCCUACGGGAGGCAGCAGUAGGGAAUCUUCCGCAAUGGACGAAAGUCUGACGGAGCAACGCCGCGUGAGUGAUGAAGGCUUUCGGGUCGUAAAACUCUGUUGUUAGGGAAGAACAAGUGCUAGUUGAAUAAGCUGGCACCUUGACGGUACCUAACCAGAAAGCCACGGCUAACUACGUGCCAGCAGCCGCCGUAA
rnacentral:rRNA from 1 species